AAUGAACGUUGGCGGCGUGGAUUAGGCAUGCAAGUCGAGCGAGAACCGUAGCAAUACGGGGACAGCGGCGAAAGGGACAGUAAUGUGUAGGUACCUACCCCCGGGUUCGGGAUAGCUGCGGGAAACUGCAGGUAAUACCGAAUAAUGUCUUCGGACCACAGGUGUGAUUCCACCUGGGGAGGGGCCUGCAUCCUAUUAGCUUGUUGGUGGGGUAACGGCUUACCAAGGCGAUGAUGGGUAGCGGGUGUGAGAGCAUGACCCGCGUCAUUGGGACUGAGACACUGCCCAGACACCUACGGGUGGCUGCAGUCAAGGAUCUUCGGCAAUGGGCGCAAGCCUGACCGAGCGACGCCGCGUGCGGGAUGAAGGCCUUCGGGUUGUAAACCGCUGUCGUAGAGGAGGAAAUGCAGGAGGGUUCUCCCUUCUGUUUGACCUAUUCUAGGAGGAAGUACGGGCUAAGUUCGUGCCAGCAGCCGCGGUAA
rnacentral:rRNA from 1 species